rnacentral:lncRNA from 1 species
UAUUCUGCUAGAUAAGAGAUCACCAUCGAUUUUAAAUUUAGAGUAUCAAUUCUCUGCGGUCAGCCAUUUUGUCACCUUCUCCGAUUUGCAGUCACGAUAUGUCUAAGGACCAAAACUACAGUAACCCGAUGUAGUCGUAAUUGCGUGUCGAUAUCUCGUCAAUCGUAUGGUUGUUUUAUCCGACUAGUUAACUAGUUAACUAACUUGAUACGGAAAAUUUUCUUUUUUUUUUUUAAAUAACCAUGAUCUGUUAUUUUUAGACUGAUAAUAUAGGAAUUUAAUAGUGAAAAAGUCAAAAUUUCAAAUCAUAAAUAAGUCUUCCGUGAAACUUGAAUUGUUUUCGGAAAUCUAAUAAG